rnacentral:rRNA from 1 species
UGGGGAAUAUUGGACAAUGGGCGCAAGCCUGAUCCAGCCAUGCCGCGUGAGUGAUGAAGGCCCUAGGGUUGUAAAGCUCUUUCACCGGUGAAGAUAAUGACGGUAACCGGAGAAGAAGCCCCGGCUAACUUCGUGCCAGCAGCCGCGGUAAUACGAAGGGGGCUAGCGUUGUUCGGAUUUACUGGGCGUAAAGCGCACGUAGGCGGACUAUUAAGUCAGGGGUGAAAUCCCGGGGCUCAACCCCGGAACUGCCUUUGAUACUGGUAGUCUUGAGUUCGAGAGAGGUGAGUGGAAUUCCGAGUGAAGAGGUGAAAUUCGUAGAUAUUCGGAGGAACACCAGUGGCGAAGGCGGCUCACUGGCUCGAUACUGACGCUGAGGUGCGAAAGCGUGGGGAGCAAACAGG